rnacentral:rRNA from 1 species
GUUGACCUCGAAUCAGGUAGGAAUACCCGCU